rnacentral:lncRNA from 1 species
AGUGCCUGUAAUCCCAGCUACUCAGGAGGCUGAGGCAGGAGAAUCGCUUGAGCCUGGGAGGAGCCAGAGGUUGCAGUGAGCCCAGAUCACACCACUGCACUCCAGCCUGGGCAGCAGAGCGAGACUGUCUCAAUAAACAACAACAAAAAAAAUUACAUUUAAAAAAACUUAGGCUAUGGGGCCCAGCGUGGAGGCUCACACAUGUAAUUCCAACAUUUUGGGAAGCUAAUGCCGGAGAAUCGCUUAAGCCCAGGAGUUCAGGACCAGCUUGAGCAACAGUGAGAUUCCAUCUGUAUAUUAAAAAAAAAAAAAAAAAAAUUAGCCAGGCAUGGUGUUGCUCACCUGUAGUCCCAGCUGCUCAGGAGGCUGAGGUGAGAGGAUCACUUGAGCCUGGGAGUUCGAGGCUGAGGUGAGAGGAUCACUUGAGCCUGGGAGUUGGAGGCUGAAGUGAGCCAUGAGGGCGCCACUACACUCCAGCCUGGGUGACAGAGUGAGAGCCUGUCUUUAAAAAACAUAUAAUAAUAAUAAUAAUUAAUAAUUAAACAAAUAAUAAGGCUUAGACUAAGAGGGAAGGCAGAGCACACUCAGGUGCAUUCGGCCUUCUGGAUGCUACCAGGGAAUGCCAGACCUCCGGGAGAAACAAGAACCCACGUGUUCUCAAGGCGCCCAGCCCAGCCCAACCUGUGGCCCUCCAGAAACUGUCGUGGUCAUCCUCCAUUCACCUGUCUGUUCAUUCAUCAACUCACCCUUCAGAUAGCUGCAGAGGACCUAUGAUCACCAGGAAUCUCCCCAUGAGCAAACUAUGGGGCACUGGGAAGACGGUGGCCACAGUUAGAGGUGGGAGCCGCACAGGCAGAUGGAACCGCAGUGGCCGCAAGCCCUGGAGGAUCUUCGGCCGUCCGUGCUGGCUUGGAAGCCCUCCUGGGUUUCUUUACACGGACUUAGGGCUUUGGGGACUCUGGCUGGGGUGACCUCGACCUGUGCCGAGCCUCCAAAGAUUCCUGUAGGCGCUGCACCCCGAGCGGAGACUGCAGCUCGGCCUCCCUGCGUCUGCACUGCCUCCCCUGCUGCAGGGGUGUCCCCAAGGGCCUGGGCCGUGCUCCUCCUACCGCAGCUCCUGGUCCUGGCGCCUCCUCCAUCCAGAGACACAAGUGGCCCCUACGACUCCAGCACCAGACCUGAUCUCAAGCACCAGGCAAUACUCAUUAAAUCAAAAUGUGCUAGAACCGGAAGGAAUAAAUCUCACUGUGAUGGAUUCCUGGGGUUCCAACAACCCCUCAGCAACCAGUAUAUUAAUUCUAAUAAAAUGUUCUAAAAUUCAGUAAAAUGCAAGGAAUCCCAUUUUCCAGGAAGGCAUAUAAAGGCUCAGGCAUAUGUAAGGCACAGAGGGAGUGACGGCCAACCUGGGAAUUAGACUAAGGUUUCUUUCCUCUCUGUGCCUUGAUAGAGAAUCCACCUCAGUUCCAGAACUUGCAUCAGAAACAGGGUCCUCUUCCCACACCCCACUUCUCGGGGAGGGCUCAAGCCGCAUCUGCCUCUGGAAGCAGAUAUCCGUGACUAUUAUGACUCCUUGGAAGGCAGCCAGGCAUGAGCCUGUGGCUUACAUUCCUUAAUGCUCAAGCACAUUCCUUCGUGUUCAAGUAUACGUGUGGUUGGCUCGAGCACAGAAGCACAGAGCUGAGCAAAAUAUUCAGCGCCUUUUUCAGAGAACCCUGGCUGGUGCUGGUGGAUGUUCCUGCCCCUUCCUCCACCAUGAACAUUUUUAAAAAUUAAGGGAGAAACAGGAAAACUUUGAAGAAUCUUCCAGAUUUGCCUAACGCAGAUGUGCAUGACCUGACAAGAUAGAUGUGCCAUUUGGACCCUUUCAAGAGCAGACAGAAUGGAAGGGAGGCUGGAGUGCAAUGGUGUGAUCUCUGCUCCUGCAACCUGCGCCUCCUGAGUUCAAGCGAUUCUCCUGCCUCAGCCUCCCAAGUUGCUGGGAUUACAGGGGCCCGCCACCACGCCCAGCUAAUUUUUGUUAUUUUCAGUAGAGAUGGGGUUUCAUCAUGUUGGCCAGGCUAGUCUUGAACUCCUGACCUCAGGCGAUCCGCCCGCCUCGGCCUCCCAAAGUGCUGGGAUUACAGGUGUGAGCCACUGCACCUGCCCAAGGACUAAGGUUUUCUAUUUCUUAUUGUGUCAGUUAGGUUGUAUUUUUCUGUGAAUCUGUUCAUUUCACCAAAUUUUCAAGUUUGUUGGCUUAAAGUUUUCGAUAAUAUACUCUUAUUUUGUGGUGAAGUCCCUUUUUUAUUUCUUGUAUUUGUUAUUUGUGCCUUCUUUUCUUUUUUUUUUUUCCUUUUCUUUUUUAUGAGAUAGAGUUUCACUCUUGUCGCCCAAGCUGGAGUGCAAUGGCGCGAUCUCAGCUCACUGAAACCUCUGCCUCCCGGGUUCAAGCGAUUCUCCUGCCUCAGCCUCCUGAGUGGCUGGGAUUAUAGGCACCCAUCACCACGCCCAGCUAAUUUUUUGUAUUUUUAGUAGAAAUGGGGUUUCACCAUGUUAGCCAGGCUGGUGCCAAACUCCUGAUUUCAGGUGAUCCGCCCGCCUCAGCCUCCCAAAGUGCUGGGAUUACAGGCGUGAGCCACCACGCCCAGCCUUUUCCUUUUCUAUUUUCUUUUUCUUUUCACAGAUGCCUUUUGUGAAAACUGUCAAAUUGUUUCCUUUUAAUCAUUCUCUUUAGGGAUUAACCAAUUUUAUUAGUGGUUUCAGUUUUGGCUUUGUUGAUUCUCUCCGUUGUGUGUUUGUUUUUAUACUUAUUAUACAUUGAAAUCAUUUCCUCCUGUCUACUUUAUUAUAUAUUUAAAUCAUUUCCUCCUGUCUAUUUUUGUUGGGUUUCUUUAGUUGUUCUUUUCCUGACAUCUUAAAAUGAAUGUGCUUAGCUCAUUAUAUUUUAAGUCUUUCUUCUUCCCUAAAAUAUGCAAUUAAGGCUAUAAAUUUCCCCCCAAACACUGCAUUAGCUUUACUCCAUAAGUUUUGUUGUAUUUUGUUUUUCAUUACAUAUAGUAUAGUUCAAAGUAAUUUCAAAUUUCCGUUUUUAUUUGUUCUGAAACCCAUGCAUUAUUUAGAAGUAUAUUUUAGAAGCACGUUACUCGAAAGUAUAGUUUUCAAAGGUACAGGGACUUUUUAAUAUUUUUAUUAUCGAUUCUUAAACUAUUUGCAAUAUGUUAGGAUAACAUUAUCUGCUGUAUUUUAAUCCUUUGAAAUGUGUUGAAACUUGCGUUUUGGCCCAGCAGAUCAUCGUAUUUUAAAAUGGAUGAUAUCUUUUUGAAAAUAACAUAUUUUUCACUUGUUGGGUGCACAGUUCUCCAUAUGUUCAUACAACAAGAUUGUUCAUUAUGAUGUCUCAAAUCUUCUACAGUGUUAUUGAUUUAUUGUCUGCCUGUUCCAUUGAUUACUGAAAAAGCUGUGUCAAACAUCCCACUAUGAAUAUGGACUUGUCUGUUUCUCCAUAUAAUUCUGUUCACAUUGCUCUAUGUAUCAUGUAAUUAGGUACAUACAAAUUUAAAAUAAUCUUUUAUUAUUAUAGGGUGACCCUCCUUAAUUCUAGAGACGCUUUUUUUUUUUUUUUUCAUUUU